rnacentral:rRNA from 1 species
AAGGUGGGGUAGAUGACUGGGGUGAAGUCGUAACAAGGUAUCCCUACCGGAAGGUGGGGAUGGAUCACCUCCUUUCU